rnacentral:rRNA from 1 species
UACAGAGGGCGCGAGCGUUGUCCGGAAUCACUGGGCGUAAAGGGCGCGUAGGCGGUUCUCGAAGCGUGCGGUGAAAGCCCGGGGCUCAACCUCGGGUCGGCCGUGCGAACUGGGGGACUCGAGCACAGUAGAGGCAGGUGGAAUUCCGGGUGUAGCGGUGGAAUGCGUAGAGAUCCGGAAGAACACCGGUGGCGAAGGCGGCCUACUGGGCUGUGGCUGACGCUGAGGCGCGACAGCGUGGGGAGCAAACAGG